GAUGAACGCUGGCGGCGUGCUUAACACAUGCAAGUCGAACGAUUGAAGCUGGAGCUUGCUCCGGCCGAUUUAGUGGCGGACGGGUGAGUAACGCGUGGGUAACCUGCCUCAUACAGGGGGAUAGCAGUUGGAAACGACUGGUAAAACCGCAUAAGCGCACGGUGUCGCAUGACACAGUGUGAAAACACUCCGGUGGUAUGAGAUGGACCCGCGUCUGAUUAGCUAGUUGGUGAGGUAACGGCCCACCAAGGCGACGAUCAGUAGCCGGCCUGAGAGGGUGAACGGCCACAUUGGGACUGAGACACGGCCCAAACUCCUACGGGAGGCAGCAGUGGGGAAUAUUGCACAAUGGGGGAAACCCUGAUGCAGCGACGCCGCGUGAGUGAUGAAGUAUUUCGGUAUGUAAAGCUCUAUCAGCAGGGAAGAUAAUGACGGUACCUGACUAAGAAGCACCGGC
rnacentral:rRNA from 1 species